UACGUAGGGCGCAAGCGUUGUCCGGAAUUAUUGGGCGUAAAGAGCUCGUAGGUGGCUUGUCGCGUCUGCCGUGAAAACCCGCAGCUCAACUGUGGGCUUGCAGCUGAUACGGGCAGGCUUGAGUUCGGUAGGGGAGACUGGAAUUCCUGGUGUAGCGGUGAAAUGCGCAGAUAUCAGGAGGAACACCGGUGGCGAAGGCGGGUCUCUGGGCCGAUACUGACGCUGAGGAGCGAAAGCGUGGGGAGCGAACAGG
rnacentral:rRNA from 1 species